rnacentral:rRNA from 1 species
GCGAAAAGGGAUCAGCCCAGCGCCGAAUCCCCGGCCCUCAYAGGCCGCGGGAAAUGUGGCGUUUAGGAGCCGGCGUGCGGAGCGACGAACGGCGCAAAGUCCCCCUGACCGGGGCCUGUCCGUAGCGGGUGCGAGGCCCGUGCGCGCCGGACGAAGCAUCGCGCGUCGGCUCCUCGGAGUCGGGUUGCUUGGGAGUGCAGCCCCAAUCGGGUGGUAAACUCCACCUAAGGCUAAAUACCGCCGUGAGACCGAUAGCAAACAAGUACCGUGAGGGAAAGUUGCAAAGAACUUUGAAGAGAGAGUUCAAGAGUACGUGAAACUGCUCAGAGGUAAACGGGUGGGCCCUCGAAGCCCUGUGGCGAGAGGAUUCAGUGCCGCCUGCGGUCGGCGAGCCGCGGUUCGAMAUGGCCCCGACACCGGGGUCGCAACGCGGUGGCUCUCCGCGGGCAGCACGCAUUUGUCUCUCGUCCGAAAGGACGCUGCGGCCGGUUCGGUAGCGCAAGCGCGACGGCCUGAAGGUCGGGGGUAGGCAGGGGGCCGGCGGUCCACAAGUGGAGUAUCGCCGGUCGCUGGCCGUCCCGUCAGUGGCAAGUCGCCGGACCGAGGUCUGAGGGGUUCCYUCGGGGACCCCCGUCUCCGUCCCCCCGUCGGUUGCGGGAUACACGCAGGCAGGCGGCUGGCUCCGACUCGUCGCACCGCCCCUCAGGCGGUGGACGGACCGCGACGCCGGGGUAGCCAGUCGGCGAGGACCCGUGCGGGGAUCGGAGGCCCGCAGCGAGUAGGUCGGUCACCCACCCGACCCGUCUUGAAACACGGACCAAGGAGUCUAACAUGUGCGCGAGUCGGCGGGUCUUUGACAGGCCCGCGGGCGCAAUGAAAGCAAUGGCGAUGCCGAGCGUAUCGCCGGACCGGGAUCCCCYAUUUCAAAUGGGGGCGCACCGGCGGCACGGACCUCUWURUGGGGGCCGUAGCCUGAGCGUACACGUUGGGACCCGAAAGAUGGUGAACUAUGCCCGGACAGGA